CGCCUGCCGCUCCGUGCACCCCGGGCCUCAGCGCCUCACCCCGCGAGCAGGCGAGCGCAUGCCUGGAGGUCGGGCGGGAAGCGUGUCCGCGGCGCGGCGCGGCGCGGGGAGCCGGCGGCACCAGGACUCCGAGGGUCCUGAGGCGUGAGGCCGCCUGGGUCCACCGGGUCCGGUUCUUGGACAACCUCCCAAAUGGACAUCGGGUUUCUGAUGGUUCUAUCACGAUGACCCCAAAUGAAGUUGUAGAAGUGCCGGCGGGGCGGCUGGCUGGGCCGCGGCGCUGAGCUGCCCGCCCCCGGAAAGCCGGGUGGCCGCAGCCUCCGGGGGAGGGGCGCCCCCUACAGCCGAGCCGGGCCCCGCGGCAGCCAGCCCGGGCCGAGCACCGGCGGACGCUGUGCUUCGCUAAGGCGUUACUGCUCCCGCCUCGUGUAGAAAGGGGCUGAGCCUCUCGAGAAACAACCUGCCAGGUCGCCUAAUUGGGAAAUUCAGGGUUGAAGCCCGAGAGUAUCUGACUCCCCAACCACCACCUGUGGUUUCCAUUUUUAUCAGAAGGCACUUGAGUCCAUGGCUAGAAACGUGUGCAUUUUCUGUUUAGACUCUGAUCAGAUGCUUAAUGUUUUGCAGGGAAGUUUAGAUUCCUAAACAUGUGUAAGAAAUCGGAGAGCCCAGCUUAGGCGAGGCCGUGGGAUUGAAACUGGAUGAUCAAGUACUGCAAUACCGGAAGUGGCCCAGCAUCUCUGUUAUUCAGGGUCCCUGUCUCCAUGGCAACUCGGAAUCUGGUUAUCCGGAAAAUUGAGAUACCGUUUCGUCUUAAUGUUUCUGGGUGGCUGAAAGUCUCUGGGUAUCACAGUUGCCCAAGUCAGAGGCAGCAUCUAACUGUUGAAACAACUGGGCGCUGGGGAAUGGAUAUUCCUUGGAGAUUGAAUUAAUUUGGACUGCUUCUCCGUGUAUUUUCAGGCUGGAAUCAGAGAACACAGCCCUUGCUAAUCUGAGAAGCUUGGUGCAGACCGCCGUUCCCCGAAGCUCAGUUGCCCAGAGCAGCACUGCCUUGUGCCAGAGGACUGGCUCUCCUGCCUGCUGGAGCUCAGAGCUGGAGUCCGUGGAGUCACUGAGGGGCUCCCUAAGUCCAGACAGCUUUUCUCCAUACAGGUCCAAUCCGUCUUGCUCUUUUGCAGGCUGGCAUGGGUAUCAGCAAUUCCCCACAGACAGGAGCCAUGGAGCUGCCAGUCCUCAGGGUCCCCAGCUGUGCAAGACCAGCCUCCUUGGCCCCUGGAGUUCCUUGUGGGUAUGAAGACGUGAUAACUAGAUCAAGCCUGCUAUCUUAACCUCUGAAGGGCAGCCCACAGGGCCAGACUGCCUGGGGCCUAACCCCAGCCCCACCUUCCCAACAGCCACCUGUAAGCCCCCUGGGUCUCAGUCAGUUUCUAAGUACUUAGAACAAUGCUGGCAUGUAAUUAAGUCACAGCAGAUCUCCUGACCCUGAGCAAGCUCCCUCCUGCAUUCCCUGCCGGUCAUCUUUGGUCAAUGCCUGCCCUACAUUCUAAGCAAGGGUAUGGUUCACAAUGAGGAAUGAGGUCAAGACCAAUGCUGUCAGUUGGAGCCAUGGUUUUUUGACUAUAAUUUUCUUGCGUUCGGUGGUAAGAACCCAGGAAUGAGACACUGAAUUUUAAAGCUGGAAACCAUUUUAGAAAGUUGCUAAUUAAGACCAAGUUUUUUUUUUUUUUAUAAUAAGAAAGCUGAGGCCCAUGGUGGAUAAACUCCUUGCCCUCAGUCACGCCGCUAUUUCCCGGUAAGGCUGAGACGACAGUCCAGGCCACCUGCCCCCACGUCUACCACAUGGCCACCCUGACAUGGUCAUUUUCCCUUAUAAGGCAAUACUUUCAGAGGAUAUGUAUAAACCACCUUGAAAAUCCACCAUGAUAUUAAACUCUAUGGUGAUGUGCCUUGGGCAAGUCUGAACAACCAAAUAGUAAUAGGGACCUGUUGUAUUCUGUGAAAUUGAUAAUCCCUAAAUAAAUGUGUCUG